UUACGGCCAUAUCAUGUUGAAACACCAGUUCCCAUGCGAGCCUCGAAGUUAAGCAACGUCGAAUCUGGUCAAUAACUAGAUAGGGGAUCACUUGGCAAUACCAGGUGCUGUAA